rnacentral:rRNA from 1 species
AUUGAACGCUGGCGGCAGGCCUAACACAUGCAAGUCGAGCGGAUGAAGGGAGCUUGCUCCUGGAUUCAGCGGCGGACGGGUGAGUAAUGCCUAGGAAUCUGCCUGGUAGUGGGGGAUAACGUCCGGAAACGGGCGCUAAUACCGCAUACGUCAUGAGGGUGAAAGUGGGGGUUCUUCGGACCUCACGCUAUCAGAUGAGCCUAGGUCGGAUUAGCUAGUUGGUGGGGUAAAGGGCUACCAAGGCGACGAUCCGUGACUGGUCUGAGAGGAUGAUCAGUCACACGGGAACUGAGACACGGUCCAAGCUCCUGAGGGAGGCAGCAGUUGGGAAUAGUGGACAAUAGGCGAAAACCUUAUCCAACCAUGGCGCGUGUGUGAAGAAGGUCUUCGGAUUGUAAAGCACGUUAAAUUGGGGGAAAGGGCAGUAAGUUGAUACCUUGCUGUUUUGACGUUACCAACAGAAUAAGCACCGGCUAACUUCGUG